UACGUAGGUGGCAAGCGUUGUCCGGAUUUACUGGGCGUAAAGAGCGCGCAGGCGGUCGGAUAAGUCGAAUGUGAAAGCCCCCGGCUCAACUGGGGAGGGUCAUUCGAUACUGUUCGACUCGAAGGCAGGAGAGGGAAGUGGAAUUCCGGGUGUAGUGGUGAAAUGCGUAGAUAUCCGGAGGAACACCAGUGGCGAAGGCGACUUUCUGGCCUGUUCUUGACGCUGAGGCGCGAAAGCUAGGGGAGCAAACGGGG
rnacentral:rRNA from 1 species